rnacentral:rRNA from 1 species
GACGGAAGGUGCAAGCGUUGCUCGGAAUCACUGGGCGUAAAGGGUGCGUAGGCGGCCGUGCAAGUCUGGCGUGGAAGCCCCGGGCUCAGCCCGGGAAGUGCGCUCGAAACUGCGCGGCCCGAGUGCCGGAGGGGAGAGUGGAAUUCCUGGUGUAGCGGUGAAAUGCGUAGAUAUCAGGAGGAAUACCGGUGGCGAAAGCGACUCUCUGGACGGCAACUGACGCUGAGGCACGAAAGCGUGGGGAGCAAACAGG